rnacentral:lncRNA from 1 species
GGGUAAUAAGAAGGAUCCUUUUGCAAAGACUGGAAGAGCACAAACAAGAUAUAUCCAGAGGCAAACUAUCUAUGGCUUUGGCCAGAAUGUUAUUCAUCCAACAUGGAAGUAAACUGGGAUAAUGCAAGAAUCAUAAGACAGCUCAAAGUGUCUAGGCAAAGUUUAGCUACAAUGUCUUUAGAGAUAAUGACCAGGCAAAAAAUGAAAAGCAUCAUUAAUGAUAGACUAGUCCAGGAACUCCUACCAGCAUGGAUGUAUGCAAUUGAAAAAAUAUAUAUAUAUUUCAAAACCACCAAUUGGACAUAAUAACGGAACUUGUUAAAUUAACAUUUUACAUAGAUCUUCAUAUAGAUCUUUAUCAUUAUUUAUUGGUUUAAGUUAAAAGUUUUAUUAAUAUAUAUUUAAAUUAAAC